GGGAUAUGCAGCUCUACAGGAAU
rnacentral:piRNA from 1 species